rnacentral:rRNA from 1 species
UGCUGUUUCGCUGACGAGUGGCGGACGGGUGAGUAAUGUCUGGGAAACUGCCUGAUGGAGGGGGAUAACUACUGGAAACGGUAGCUAAUACCGCAUAACGUCGCAAGACCAAAGAGGGGGACCUUCGGGCCUCUUGCCAUCGGAUGUGCCCAGAUGGGAUUAGCUAGUAGGUGGGGUAACGGCUCACCUAGGCGACGAUCCCUAGCUGGUCUGAGAGGAUGACCAGCCACACUGGAACUGAGACACGGUCCAGACUCCUACGGGAGGCAGCAGUGGGGAAUAUUGCACAAUGGGCGCAAGCCUGAUGCAGCCAUGCCGCGUGUAUGAAGAAGGCCUUCGGGUUGUAAAGUACUUUCAGCGGGGAGGAAGGGAGUAAAGUUAAUACCUUUACUCAUUGACGUUACCCGCAGAAGAAGCACCGGCUAACUCCGUGCCAGCAGCCGCGGUAAUACGGAGGGUGCAAGCGUUAAUCGGAAUUACUGGGCGUAAAGCGCACGCAGGCGGUUUGUUAAGUCAGAUGUGAAAUCCCCGGGCUCAACCUGGGAACUGCAUCUGAUACUGGCAAGCUUGAGUCUCGUAGAGGGGGGUAGAAUUCCAGGUGUAGCGGUGAAAUGCGUAGAGAUCUGGAGGAAUACCGGUGGCGAAGGCGGCCCCCUGGACGAAGACUGACGCUCAGGUGCGAAAGCGUGGGGAG